rnacentral:rRNA from 1 species
GACGAACGCUGGCGGCGUGCUUAACACAUGCAAGUCGAACGGAAAGGCCCUGCUUUUGUGGGGUGCUCGAGUGGCGAACGGGUGAGUAACACGUGAGUAACCUGCCCUUGACUUUGGGAUAACUUCAGGAAACUGGGGCUAAUACCGGAUAGGAGCUCCUGCUGCAUGGUGGGGGUUGGAAAGUUUCGGCGGUUGGGGAUGGACUCGCGGCUUAUCAGCUUGUUGGUGGGGUAGUGGCUUACCAAGGCUUUGACGGGUAGCCGGCCUGAGAGGGUGACCGGCCACAUUGGGACUGAGAUACGGCGCAGACUCCUACGGGAGGCAGCAGUGGGGAAUAUUGCACAAUGGGCGGAAGCCUGAUGCAGCAACGCCGCGGGCGGGAUGACGGCCUUCGGGUUGUAAACCGCUUUCGCCUGUGACGAAGCGUGAGUGACGGUGAUGGGUAAAGAAGCACCGGCUAACUACGUG